GCUCGGCUUCUGCGAAGGAAGGAAGGAAGGGAAGGAGGGGAUGUGGGACGACGUUCUUUCUCGGCUAGCACCUCCCACUGCGGAGAGUUGGUUCCCCCUCCGUUGUCGGAGCCCGACCACCUUGUGUGACUUGACACUGCCUUGAGGAAGCCACGAUAAAACCGCGGCGAGCUCAGGCUCUGCAGACGCUCACCUUCUUGUGUGAGCACCGUCCUCUCCUUGGAGAUAAGUGCAGAUGCUCAUGUCCGAGGAUAUGUGGGAGAGAAGAUCAAGUUGAAAUGCACCUUCAAGUCAUCUUCAGAUGUCACUGACAAGCUGACCAUAGACUGGACAUACCGCCCUCCCAGCAGCAGCCGCACAGAAUCUAUCUUCCAUUAUCAGUCUUUCCAGUACCCGACUACCGCAGGCACAUUCCGAGACCGGAUCUCCUGGGCUGGAAAUGUCUACAAAGGGGAUGCGUCCAUCAGCAUCAGCAACCCUACUCUAAAGGACAACGGGACGUUCAGCUGUGCUGUGAAGAACCCCCCAGAUGUGUACCACAACAUCCCCCUAACAGAGCUCACGGUCACAGAAAGGGGUUUUGGUACCAUGCUGUCCUCUGUGGCCCUUCUCUCCAUCCUCGUCUUCGUCCCCUCGGCAGUGGUGGUCAUUCUGCUGCUGGUACGAAUGGGGAGGAAGGCAACGGGGGUGAAGAAGAGGAGCAGGUCUGGCUAUAAGAAGUCUUCCAUUGAAGUUUCCGAUGACACUGACCAGGAGGACAGCAAUGACUGUAUGGCGAGGCUUUGUGUCCGUUGUGCGGAGUGUCUGGAUUCAGACUACGAAGAGGCGUACUGAUGAAGUGUGUGCGAUGCAAGAAGUGUUACCUAACAACAGGAAAUAUGCCAUUCCCCUGGCCCGGAGUGCCAUUGGCAGGGACAGCAGUGACAGAAGAUUCUGAAGGUCAUCAGUGAAGACCUUAAGGACCACUUAUUUAUUGAAGAAACGUUUAUUUUGUACUUAUAAGCUGUUCAGAAACUCCAGGAAGGGACUUGUGACUUCCCUUCUUUAAUACACUCUAAUUGAGCAAAGAAAUUCUUGAACAGAAACACAGUGCUUGGUUUACCUUCGCUCUUGAAUGUCGUUCAUGGUGUCUUCCAGUUGUCUGAAGGAGACCAAAUGUCUUGUCACUCUGCUGAUGCCAAAAUUGUACUUUUUUAAUGGUGUAGAGCUUGUAGUUUCCUGAUGAUGUGCCAACGAACAACACGCCCAUCUGGGAUGGAUAGCCUUUGUCUUCUCUCCACGGAUGCUCUCCGGCCAGCACUUAGUGUGCUCUACUUGGUCUAGCCGUCAUCAGCUGUGUCGAGGUGACAUCGAGUAUUUGACCCUCAUUUCUUUCAGCUCAGUAGGUUUACAGGUUGCAGGCUUGCUUGGACUGGGUCUUUUAAGUAUUAAAAUAUUGUUAAUUUACAGUUAAGGAAACAGUUUUUGAGGUAGAAGACUCUUAUUCACCUUGCUAACUAUACUUUGGGCCACAGAAGUUUUGUAAUUUUGUGUUCCUGAAGCUGACUAAUUUGUGGUUUCCUUCUUGGUUUUCUUAAAGUUAGAGGCAAGAAAUGCCUCUUAACUAAGUUUUUAGUGGCGACUUAGGAAAUAUUUUUUUGUAGUCCCUUGCUUUGGGUCUUUUCACUUUUCUUGUGAUGUUGUUUAGAACUUUGGUUCUAAAUUGCACCAGAAAUGGGUAUUGCGUCUGCAAGCUGGUUUGCUCAGCACUGGAGAAGAGGGAGUGAGGCUGUGCAGGACAUCUCCCCCCCUUUCCUCACUCAGUGCCUUGUAACCCACACGUCUACUCUCCUGUAGCAACCUACUUGUUAUUUUAAGUUAUACUGGGUUUUCUGUAAACCACUAAGAUGUGCCUGACUUAUCGGAAGGACUAGCGUGUGUGCAAAUAGGGCUCUCCAGAGAGAGUCACUAAUGACCCCUUCCCCAGCCCUGGUUGGUUCAACAUGGUGGUCUUCUUCAUGGUUCUUCCCAAAGUAGCUUGGGAGCCCUCCAUAUUACAGUGUUAUAUGCUAUGAUAUAUACUAUGUAUCUUAUAAAAGUCAUUCUAUUUACUAUGAAGAUAUGUUUGAAACUGGGAUCGUUGUUAACUCUGUAUGAAAAACUUGUUAAUCUAGCCUGCUGAUUCACCAUUGUGAUCACCUCUGGUCAUGGAAGCCAUUGGAAGAGGCAGAGGGGGAACUGGCAUUUUAUAUUUCCGGUCGUUAGACUCCACAGUUCUUUGGCCCACUUGUUAAAGAUGUAGUUGUCUGUGGCCAAUACAGUGAGACCCUUUCUGAUGUUUCACCAGAGAAAAGGAAGCAUCCAGCCACCAAGCAUAAACAAUUUGGGCACUUGCAGAUCUGAAGAGAGUGAUCUAGGUGGGAGGGGGCAAGCCAUGGGCCUCACUGUUCUGACAGAGGCAUUACAAGGCCUCAUUUAAGCCAUCAUUCUGUGAAAAUGAGGGACCAGGUUUAGUGUCUUAGGAUUUUCUUGCAAGUGUAUUGUGAGGUUUUUAUCUAGCUCAGCCAUUGGUGAGUUCGGUGACCAAUGCAUGAUGGGUACUUGCGUACACUGUUACACUGUCACACUGUUGUGUAGCCUGCUUUGAAAUGGCUCUUUCUCUUGUAAAUGACAGAACAAUCAAGUCCUUCAUUGUAAGGGAGUGAGUUAGUGGUUUUAUUUGCUCCAUGAUUGAGUGCAUGAUUGCUCCAUGGUUUGAGGUCAUAUCCCAGGCUUGGGCCACCCUCAGUUUCCUAUGCUGAGGCUUGUGCUAUAGCUUUUUGAUCCCAAGGAAAACAAAACCGUCUGUGGAGCCCUGCUUUAAGAAUGAGCGUACGACUGAGGGUUUGUCUGACUUACUGUUUUAAUAUCUCCUAAGAUGACAUUCUCAUACUUGUGCCUUCCCUUUUUGAUGCUCUCGGGCUCAAACCACCUGACACUAUAGCAUUGUCUGGAAAGAGGAUUUAAGUCUUUCAUCAUGGUUAUAUCACCUCCUGAGUUUUAUGCAGCGGACUCUUAAAACUAUUACAGAAUGUGAAUUUAUAAAGUACUUGGUUUUCCUUCUGUGGCCUGUUACUUCAGGCCACUUGAGGACGUCUUAGCAGUCUGCAGCUCCUGAGUCAGCGGUGGGACUUGAGAAGGAAAAGUUGCCUCCCCCUCCCCCAUCCCGGUUACGCAUGCAUACAUGUGCGUCUGUGCGGAUGCAUGUUUUACAACAGCGGAAAACCUGGAGGCCAGAUCCUGAUCCAGAAUGUUGUGUUGUGAUGCUGAGCUCCCUCUGAAGAAGGACUCGACAAAGAUCCGUGGAGUGGGCCAAAGCUCGUGUUUAAUUGCACAGCUUAAAACUUCAGUGCCAUAAGUACCCUCUCUGGCGUCGGCCUCCUUACCACUGUCUCCCACCGACUUUUAAAAUGAAGUCAGACUUUUUGUUUGCAGGAGAGUGUGAGCUGUGAGGCUUCGUGCACAGGCAUUGUGACUCAUGGAAUCUUUACUCCACUGUAGUUAAUAAACUUCUUUGAACCCUGUG